AAAGGUUGAAUGCACAGUGAACAUUAAACCAGGACUGAGCCUUUUCUCUGCUCUCCUGGCACCCUCCCCACUCACCCCAUCUCUUCACCUCUCAGUCUCCUCGCUUCCUUGGGCUCCCUUCAGAUUCACAACUGGCCCAGCCAGAAUGAGCCUCCGCCAAGUGCUUGCUGUGGCUGCCCUCUGGGCCAUUGGCCAAGCAGACACAGAACUGAAGCAACCUCAAGUUUCCAUCACCAGCCAGGUAGGAAAAGCAGCACGGAUCACUUGUCAAGUGUCACCCGGCAUGUUGGACUUUGCUAGUCGAUACAUACACUGGUACCAACAGAAGCCAAACCAGCCUUUGCAACACCUGCUCCUUAUCCGAUCAACCAGUAAACUCGAGGGAAAAUCCUUAGGUAAGGUACAGAACAAAUUUGUGGCAGAAAAGAAUGAAGACAAAAGUACAUCAGACCUAACAAUAAACGCCAUAACCCCUGAAGAUGAGGGCACCUACUACUGUGCAUGCUGGUACGACCACAGCCAUCAACUUUCAGUGACAAGAUGUACAAGAAUCCUGCCCUCCUCAGUCUCUUCCCACAUCCUCUUCCCAGGCGGCCGCCUCCGCAUUUCUGGCUCCCAUCUCCAGUCUGCCUGCAGCACUCCCUGCAUUUCUUCUCAAGGCCAUGAGCCCUGUGUCUAUGUCAUUCCCCAGUCUUGCUCCAAUUCACCCAGGUCCCAAACUCCCUCUAUCACCACCAUAAUUAUCUACAUUUCUAUAGAUCUGUAA